rnacentral:tRNA from 1 species
UCCUCAGUAGCUCAGUGGUAGAGCGGUCGGUUGUUAACUGAUUGGUCAUAGGUUCGAAUCCUACUUGGGGAG